GUCUCUUCUUCUCUGUCAAGCUCAAGCAUCAUCGCACCCUUUCUUCUCUUCUUCUGUCACGCCGCGCUGAAGCAUCAUCGCACCCUUUCUUCUCUUCUUCUGUCACGCUGCGCUGAAGCAUCAUCGCACCCUUUCUGCUAUUUGAAAUCUGUAGACAAAACAACGCACAGACCAGUGAUGCCUGAAGUAGACUAGUUACGAUGCGAUCCCGAAGUGCCUCCACAAUAACAUCACAUAAUUGAUUUAGUUCCUGCAGCAGUUAAGUCAAACAGCCCCAAUCUCAGUAUCAAUCUAUAUGCAAGUUUGAAUAACUUAGUCGUCUAAUUAAACUUCUCAGCGUCACGGUUUGGUUGUCUUCUGUUCUCUCCCAAAUUCCACCCAAUUCGCAUUUGAACUUGCCGAAAAUCAACGACGAAGACUUCCUCUCUCGCCGGAAAAACUGACCCAGACCCAGAAGUAUAGAACUGUUUCUGGUGUUGCAGGGCCUCUGGUCAUUCUUGAUAAAGUCAAGGGUCCAAAGUUUAGAGUUUUAUACCUUGUCAAUUCUGCAACUUAGUUCACAGUGUUAUUAUUUAAUUGUGAAUUGGGUGCCGAGAACCUAUUCGGUGCAAAGUGUUUAUUUUGAUUUCUUUGAAGACGCUGACCAGGAUAAAGCAAAUUGGUUGUGACACGAGAUUUACCAGUAGAUUUCCAGAAGUAGGCACUUGUAUUCAAACGAGUAUUUGAA